UAUAUUUAAAAUUAGCAAAAAUAAGCAAUUACGAUUUAAAAGGAAAAAACGUUAAGAAAGAGAGUGAAUAGGGAAGAGGGAAAUCAGUGGAUCCUGAGGAAGGUGGAAUAGGUGGGGAGAGCAGAAUAAAGAGAGAGUGGUGAAGAAGGUCAUACAAAAGCCAGCUUGAACAAGUGAGUCUUCAGCUGCUUUUUAAAGGAGAGCACUGAGUCCACUGAUCUCAGGCUCAGAGGGAGAGAGUUCCAGAGUCUGGGGGCCACAGCAGCAAAUGAUCUGUCACCUUUGGUCACUUUUAAGGGGCCACAAUAAAAAAAAUGUAAAAAAAAAGAAAUAGUAAAAACAUGCGAUUAGGUAAACAAGAUAUAAAUCAACACUAUGUCAAAGAUUUCUUAAAUAACAUUUAUUCAAAUGUGUCAAAGUUGUAAACAUUUAUUACAGUAAUGUUUACUGAGGUGGGGAGCAACGAAGUACUAAUACUCCUGCAAAUGGGAUGGCUGGUACCCUCAACAGCACAGCUCAAGAUAAAGUUCAGCGCCUUCAACCUUCACGUUCUGCGGGCCUUUGAUAGAUGCUAUUCAAGGAGGACUUGAACAUUUAGGCCACUAAGGCGAACAGAGAAAAUAUUUUUAGAAAUUGAACCUCGUUCCGACCUCUUGAGACGACUUGCUCUUUGCUUCAUAACAAUAGUACACUCGUGCAGGUUUCAAAAGUAAAAGUACUCCUGGCUGGGAAAUGUUGCCGUGUUUAUUACGAUCGUUGUUUUAAUUUGGAACUAGCUUAUUUUGAGCGGAAUGAGAAAGUAGUGAAGCGGCUGUCACGUGACAGUUUUGAACCAAUGCGGUGCACGAUUUUAGUAAACACAUUCCAACACGGCAGACACCGUGGAUUUGGAAAGUUGCAGCAAGAGCAAGGACCAAGAAAAGUCACCGGAAAAUCCAACAAAAACGAGCAAACAGGUUCAAAAGUUGUGCUACAUGCAUAUAGCAUCCGUGAAGCAUGAGCAGGUACAGGAUUUUACAUUUACACGAUGGAGUCGUUACAGAGUAUCCCUCACAAAGUGGCUUUGAUUGCAUAGUGAGUCCAGCGUUAGCAGAAGUGUAUCAACGUUACCGUGAUAUAGAAUUUGAGAAUAUUCCCGACGAUGCUGCCUUUCACCCCACCUGCUAUAGACGUUUUAUUGAUAAGGGACGCGUAGAGCAAGCUGGGAAACGUAUUGCAUGUGAAGAGGAGACAACAUCAGAAAACAGAGGAACACAGAAAAGAAACUCCAAAGAAAAAACUCAGCCCUGCGCAUAAUCUGCAUAAAAGUUUAGAAGUAUGUAAAUGUUCAUGGAAAAUGCCAGAGAGCACAUUUGGUUCAGGCUGAAACAUCUUCUGCUGGCCAGUUGCAGAAAGCUGAUAAGAUCAAGCAAGAUGAAAGCAUUCUGUUACACAUCAAAGACAAAGAUUGUGUGUCUCUGGAGGUUCUGUACCACAAAUGCUGCUACAGACAGCACACCAUCUUCCUGUCUAGAUCCACAUCAACAACAGACAAACAACUAAAUGAGCCCAGAUUUCAUGUUGGGUACAAGACCUUCUGCGAGAGGAUCAUUCGCCAGAGACUGAUUGUGAACCAGGAAGCACUGAGAAUGAGCCAGCUGACGAGGUCAUUUUCAGAUCUGGCAAGACACAUUGAAGAGGAGGUUGAUCAAUGUCUUCCUUCAGCUGGUGUUUCAUGCCCCUAGCAAGCGCAACAUCUUUGAGCUGGUUUUGUGGAGACGCUGUCAACAGAAAAGGUGAUAGACAGGUUAGCUGUUCUGUCAGCCACAACAUUCUCUAGUGAGGUAUGCCAAACUGACAGUGAUGAGGAACACACCUCAAGAGGGUCGGAGAACUCCAGACGGCACAAGGACUCUUCAUGCGGCAGCAUUGUUAUUAAAGAGACUUCUGGCUGACUCUCCUGGUGUGACGUGCCCAUGGCCUCCCACAUCAGAUGAUCUAAACCUCACAGUAGCUAAAUCUGUUGUGCCACAUGAAUUAUUCAGUCUUGUUUCCGGGAUUGUGGGUGCUACUGAAGGCACAUCAGUAGACCAGUAUGUUGACACUGAAGAUGAUCUGCACCUAAAAAUCUUAUCAGUUUGUCAAGACCUUGUGUAUCUGGCAACAAAGGGACGUAAGCAGACACCUAAGUCAUUGUCUCUUGGUCUAACUGUGCAGCAUUUAACCGGUUCUUCACAAAUAGUGACACUUUUAAAUAGACUUGGACAUUGUGCAUCACAGUCAAGCCCCCACAAUGCAGGACAGAAAUUGAGGCCAAUGCGGAAGUGAAAUAAAUUAACCCUCAUCCGCUGGAGGCUGGUGUCAAAAGUGAGCAAAUCCUCAUUGACUCCCAUGUUAAAAAUACCAAUUUCACAGCAGAAAUAAACAUGUUUACAGCCUGGUUCCAAAACAUGUUUUAGGUUUAAUUGAUCUAGUUUAUACUCAUGACAACUCUGAGGGGGGUGCAUUUUUUUUCUCACUCUUCUGUUUAAGUGUAUUAAAAGCCUAAAAUUCUGUAUAAUUAAUGAGCAUCAGACCCACGUGACCGCAGAGCUAGCUCCGGGGAAAGGCCUCAGCCUUAAAACUGUUUCGUCAUUUUCAGUCUCUCAGUUUAGACCAUUAGUUGUAGCAUUUGUGCGUUCUGUUUUGGAUAUUUUUUGUGCAAUUGUUGGACAAAUUGACUUGCUGUGGCAUUAAUUGCACUAAUAGAGCGUCCAAGGAGUCUCCACUUCAUUUUUUUCGGUAAGUAAAAUUAUAUUUAUGUAUUUUAGGUCACUGCCGAGCUGAGCUUAGAUUUUAACAUGUACUGUUUAACCAUGACAUUUAAAUGUAAUAGGGUAAAACCCAGUGCAUUUAACAUAAUGCUGCACUUUAGAAAAUGGGUUGAAAUAUAACAUGUUGGUGGAGCUGGAUUCCGAUUAUCGGCUUGUGGAGCUCUCGGGAGGACUUUGUAUUUUCUCUAUAUACCGUAAAUCCUCUAAUACAGGCCCGGGCCUGUAUUUGACUCAAGCUCAUCAAGCUCCAGGCCUUUAUUGGAAGGAGGGCCAGUAUUAGAGGCAGGUCUCUAUUUCUAUUUGAGCAAAAUGAACUAAUGGUUCGCUGGAGUUUUUGACAAUUAAAAUUGCGCCCACAUUUUCAAAGUUAAACACAUUUCUAUUAACAACGAUAGUUUCUGCUUCAGCCAUCUCCCCCCUCCCCCUGCUUCAGCCCUCUCCCCCCUCCCCCUGCGCAGCGGCCGCAAACUCACUGAUGCGCCUGCAGCCUCUCGGAGUUCCUGCUGCUCUAAACAUUAAAAUAAUUAUUUCAUUUUCUGUUCCUCACUUCUGAUGACCUUCAGUGGUGUCUGUUUGUUGCAACCACCAGGUACAAAAACUAACUUGUUUUUAUUUGACUAUUUUUCUGUCCUGUCUGUUUAUUAUCUUCCUGCAUCUCCUCUCAAUCCUAAAGAAAAACUGCUACCUGGGUUCAUAUUUAUUCACCUCAUGAGUUACCUUUGAACUGCAGUUCUAAAAGAUCUACCGACCGCAAAAACAGCAGAGCGCUCGCUGUUUGGCGGCCGUAUCAGUGAUCAGUGCGUCUGAGGACAAGGUGAUGCGCGCAGCGCCCCGCUCCACAGCAUGCAGCGAAACGCAUCAGGCGCAAAUAAAAGACAGAAAACAUUAAAGGAAAUGAGCCGACAUGAACGAUCGCAUGUUAAAUUAGUUUUUGAGGUGGCGACACCUGAUUGUUACUGUGGCCGUGCUCAGGAGGCAGAUCUACCGACCGCGAAAACAGCGGAGCACUCCCUGCUUGGAGGCCGCAUCAGUGAUCUGUGCGUCGGAGGACAAGGUGAAGCGCCCCGCUCCACAACAGCGAUACACAUCAGGCGCAAAUAAAAGACAGAAAACAUUAAAGGAAAUGAACCGACAUGAACGAUCGCGUGUCAGUACCUACGGUCUGGCACAGCGCGUUGCCCCCACCCCCACCCCCCGAGCGCAGGAGCUUGUCACCUGCUGAUAGCAGGCUGCUGUCUUUUCCGAGGGCUGCAUCUUGCCGGUCAUUAUCACGUGACAGCGACUAGUCGACGACAGGCAUAAAAAGUCACUAUAGUGAAGUUGACUAGUUCAUACAACCCCUACUGCUGCUCUCCAGAGUGUGCACGUUCUCUUUGAACUUGAUAGUGUAAUGACCUGGCUGGGGUUGUAAGCCAGGUGCAUUCUGGGUAUUGUGUUAUAUGUGUUUCCUAUCGUUCUGCUAGUUCCUAUGUGCUGAUUUGCGUGUUGUGUGAGUGUUAUGUAAGCCACAGGGAAGGUGAUGUGUGUUCUGUGGAGCGGGUUGAAUUAGCAUGGUUAACUGACACCGUGACUCUGUGUGGUAGGAGCGUGAUAGAGGAUCGUGUCUGUAGUGUUACAAAGCGUUGAAGAAAAAGCCUAAUAAAGGUCUGUGUGAAGUCUAUUGCCUCCUGCUGGUUGAUUUGGGGACUAUAAUCCUGCCGCUGAGACUCUCAUACUUGCUUGUUACCACAUUCCACCCAGCCACAAUAAGAGACCGGCCAUUAUUCACCUCCGCUGACUCCAACACCGGCCACAAUUGGAGACCCGGCCAAAAUUGGAGACCCGGCCUUUAAUUGAAUACCGGCCUGUAUUAGAGGAUUUACGGUAUGUAUACAUGUGUACACCUCUGGGUGCACUGGUUUCUUCCUAGUCCAAAAACAUGAAUACUACAAUAAAACUGAGCUACUGAUACUAGGAAAACGUCGUCAAAUUUAGAAAGUUGAUAUUCAAUCCGCCAAAGUAGCCAUUUAAAAAGCCAAGAUGGCCACAAUCAUCCUGCUACACAGGCGGUUAUGCUCCCAAGAACUGGACCUCCACUACCAUGAGACUUUCUCCCUUCAAGGGUUCUCUGGGGAACCAAACCCGCAUCUACUGUUUCCCAGUACUGAAGGCAUCAUAUUCUGGUUUAUCUCAGUAACUUGAUCUUUCUACAAACAUGGGUAUGAGAUUAACUCAGACCUAAACUCCAACUCUGCAACUCAAGGGCCAGUAACAAUGGCAGUGGGAUUCAAUACAGGUACGACUGUUCCACGCCAAACUCCCACUCACCUUUCUCCUACAGUUAGGUAAAUACACCUGGUAGGUCAUUAUACGUGUAGGUCCUGUGUCACACUGGUGACCUUUUGACGUCUCUUUUGCAUUAAAUACAGUUUGAUAGCAGGGGUUUGAUGAACAACUUCUAUGACACCGUGAUACUUUGCAGACACUUUAUUAUUACACUUUAUUACAUAAAUUUCAUGGUUACUCAAAAUAGUACUCUUGCACUAAAACUAGUGCCAUAACAAAUAUAAUGUAGCCCACAAGUGACAGCUUAGCUAAACAUCUAUAGCAUGCAGUUAAGGAAAACUUAAAUUCAGACCUCCUAUCAAAGUAAGAACAGAUGAAUAAACAUUGGUUCAAAGUCAGAAAUAUAAUUUUUUUAAUGAGAACAGAAAGAACAGCAUUCAAGGGCCCUGAGCGCCACUGUGUUUAUGCGUUCGUAUUCUGGGAAUGUCGUGUGGUGCAUUGCAAGCUUUUCUUAGGGCACAAAAAUACCUUCUUGUCAGGAGCCAAAGUAAUCAGUCAGUUUGGCUAAUGUCUCUGGGAGCAAAAAGACUUCCUGUUUCAUGGUAAGGGAAUUAGCAAUAAGGUUAUAGUGACAUUUACAUGUAUUUAGAAGGGUUACAAUUUAGUUUAGGUGUUUGCAUCCAGUCCUGCAUUAAGCAUCAGAAUGUGGGCACAUUUUAAUCUUGUAAUUGUGAAUUUUAAAAGUUCUAUUCACUGUCUCGCUCAACUGAGAUGUGCUUUCAGAAAGUGAAUCAGAUGUAUUCACGCACUUACUCCAUUCAAACAGGAUGACGUUGGCAAAGACUAAAGCUCUUGGUACCUUUAAAUCCUCAUUCAUCUUUAGACCACUGACCACUUUGUAGGUUAAAACCUUUGAAAGGCGUUUGUUCGAUGAUAAUCAUCCUCAACUGGCACCUUUAUUCCAAAAGAGCUACUGUUCAGGGGCAAAUGAAAAUAUUUCCUAACUAUUUUAGUGCACAUAAAAAAAUACACGAUAGAUUAAUGCCGGUAUCUAGUGCCGUGGUGAGGUGAGGAAUCUUUGUGGAAAGUAACAAAACAAAGCAACAUGAACACAUAUCUUACACACAUAUACACUCAGAAUGUCAAAGAUGUCCAUGAGUAAAACAAGUCACUUCCUGUUCUCAGUGGGCGGGGCUAGGUGAUGUAGAAACACAGACAAGAUGACAAAUGAAGUGGCAUCAAACAUGUACGGUUUGGUGCAAAUUAUGUGUGGCUAAACCUCAAAUCUCAAGCUUUAAGUACUGUGCAUAAUGAGUUUAAGGCUAAGAUGUAAACAUUUCCAGGACAAGUUUAUUAAAAUAUGUGUAAAAUACCAAAACUGCGUUCCUGAUCCAGAAAGUCACAAGUGCUGUUGUGUUUUUUAUGCUGGACUGGAAUGAAUGCAGCUUAACUCUGAAAUCUGUAUGCAACCAUUUUUAGGGGCUGUUUUUAAGGCAGCAAUGUGUAAUUUUCUCUAUUCAGUUCCAAGCCUCUAAAAAAAAGAGUAGAAAAUCACACACCUUCAUCGAUCUAGAACAAAAGUGUGUGGGUUUAAGGGGGGAUGUUCAGGGUCUCAUUAAGGCCUUUGACAUCAGAAUAAAGAAUGUUUGCAAUUCCUAAUUAAAACCUUAAGAUAACAAAUGUAAUAGAUAAACUGUAGGAAAAAAUAGGCUGUUUUCCAUUUUGUGUAUAAUUUCUGUUGCUGUAAUCUGUGCAUUUACUUCACUUCUUAUUAAUAAUGAUUUAAUACUCAGGCUAUUUGAUAGGCAUCACCUGAUUCUUCUUCUACUCAUUGUUUUCUCUCUAAAAUACCAAAAAACAUUUAGUUCACUUCAUACCUGACAUUAAUAAUUGUGUUUGAGUAAAAUUCUAAAACGAAUUCAUGAAAGUAUUACAGGAAAGUUGGAUCAUUUGGAGAGUGAAAUCUGAAUUAAUUUUACUCAGACUUAAUUACCUAAGUUUUUACAAAUACUGGUUAAAAGGAAGGAAGGAAUUGAAUCGUUGUAGGUUUUAGUUAACCAUUUUGCUUCUUUCAUGAGUCAAGCUCUUUCACUUCACCCGCUGUUCUCAUACUGAGAUGUGGCAUUCAUUAAAUUAGAUUAACAUCAUUUCAAUUAGCAGCAUGUGCUGCAGCUGCACUCAGUAGUUUAGAACAUACAAAAGGUUAGCGUGUGUGUGCACUUUUCAAUAUUUGUAUAUGAGUAUGAGAACAAGUUAAAUACUAAAAAAGCUUGGCAUGUCGGCCAUAUUGUUUUGGCAGCCAUGGGUUUUUCUUUAAAAUAAAUGCUCAUGAGGAAAACAUAAGUUGCUUUUUCACAUUAAGAAAUUAAAACAAAGACAUGAAAAAUAACAAAAUUACAAGUGAAAUGUAAAUUAAUCAGCAUAAAUACUCUUGCUGAAAUUAUGUCAUAUAAGUCCUGAUCUUUUCAAGAAGAACUACAUUUUAUACUUUUAACUGGCACCAUGAAAAUAUUUGUUUGGACCAUAACAAAUGACAUAAUUUUGCCAAAUAAACCCAGCUUCAUUUCAAACUACGUUUGAUAUUGACAUGUUGUAAAAACAAAGCAAGGAAGAAAACAUAAAUACAGUUCUAUUCAGAACGCCAUGUGAAGAAUAAAAAAUAAAUCCAAUGGAAUUUAUGUUGUAAACAUUCAAAAAAUCUCUUGAAAUACUAUGUUUGCUAUUUUUUCAAAACAUGCUGAUGCAGAAUGAUGCAUAUUUAUGAGCAACAGUAUGUUUUGUGAAUGACCUGUUCAGCAAGCGCGCCUGGUUUUCUGAAUUGUACUAAAAGCUUCCAUAAAAGCAAUUUUACUAAGAGAAAAAUAGAACUAUAACUGUCAUCAGGGUCGUGUGCAUGUCUAAUAAAAUUUUCUUAGAUACAAUGCCACAUUUAAAUAUUUACAAUAAAUAGCAGGAUUGGCAGCAUACACAACAGUUACAAACACAGUGAAGAACCACAUCUGAGGAACCUAAGCAGAAGAGUGGCACCUGUGCCGCUAGGUUACCUAAGAAGAUGAAUGAGGAGGAGGCAGCGCAGAGUACUCCUCGUUGUCAGAGUCGCUGCUGUCCUCAACAUUCCUCUCCUGGUCGCUGCCUUCGGUACUCAGCUGGUCAAAACCCUGACGACUGUAUCCCUUGUUAGAUGCAAAGAAUUUUCCCAGGUUCAGGGAACCCACAGUUUUACCUGAACAGAGAGAAAACCGUGUUAGUGCCUGUGAGCUUCAGGGUGGCUUUCACAGGCACCCGUUUAGCUUCAAUCAGCUCUCCUAAGGUUCUUCAAACUUUCUUUUUAUUGAUAGUUUUAUGUUAGAAAGAAGCAAGAAAAAGGAACAAACAUAUAUACCUCACUAAACCAGUGUACAGAGCAUCUAAAACAAGUCACAACAUGUUGUUAGGGCCUCACAGCCACUUAAGGUACAGUUACAUACGGGAGAAGGUGAAAAUCUUUAUGCGUUUGCUUUGACAUUACAGUCUUGAAAUACUAUGAGUCUGAGUCAGAUACAGGUUCCAUUUUUUCCAGUAUUUCUGACAUUCAUCAGUUGCAAGUCUUAGUGAGAAAGUCAGUCUCUCCAUCACAUAUAUUUCAUUAAUAAUGUCAAUCCAGUCCAGCAGUGAUGGAGGCUGUUCCAUGUUGUUGCCAUUUGUGGAUAAUUGCUCUCACUGUGGUUCGCUGGAGUCCCAAAGCUUUAGAAAUGACUUUAUAACCUUUACCAGACUGAUAAAUCUCAGUUACUUUUGUUCUCAUUUGUUCUUGAAUUUCUUUGGAUCUUGGCAUGAUGUCUAGCUUUUGAGGUGCUUUUGGUCUACUUCUCUGUGUCAGGCAGCUCAUGUUUAAGUGAUUUCUUGAUUGAAACAGGUGUGGCGGUAACCAGGCUUGGGGGUGGCUACAGAAAUUGAACUCAGGUGUGAAACACCACAGUUUGGUGAUUUUUUAACAAGGGGGGCAAUUACUUUUUCACCCAGUAAAUUAUGCUGCUUCCUGCCUCGCCCUCUCCUAAGGCUCGGACACAGCAAUCACAUCUCUAAGCCCCGCUCUCAAUUGAGUUAUAGACUGGACUUUAGGCCCGGCUCACAUGGCAGAAUAAUUGUGAAGAUUUUUUAACCGAGCCAGAUUAAUGUGUUAACAUGCAUUUCAAAAAAAUGAUGUCAGUCAAUUUAGGGCGAUGGUUUGGUUUACUGAUGCACAUGUAAAUACACCGAAGCUGUUUUUACAAAACAGUGCAGUCAAUUUGACUCAACACUGAUGCGGCAUCAGGGAGCCUUAGGUUGUUUAUAAGAAGUCAGACCGUGGCGUUGUGCAAUCAGGUCUUUUUCACAAAAGAUUACGCAGUGGUGGCAUAAAGGGGUAUAGAGGUGGUCUCUGCACUACUGCAGACAUCCGUUUAUUUUGGACAUAACUUGCUUUUUAUCGUGAUCAAAGCCGCACUCAUGCCUAAAGGUGUCUGUCCUCCACAGUCCCCGUGCAGUCUCGUGAUCAUGACACCUCCCUCUGUUGCGACAAGGCGCAUCACCGUUUAUGAGACAGACAAUUACCACAAUAUUACUACCAAGUGAGGCAGAACGAAUGCUGCAAAAUUUGCCAGUAAUGUUACGCUGAUUUGCCGGCACAGUGUGUCUUGUAAAAAGGGCUCGAGUGACUCUUGAAUAUUAACAGUUAAACAAACAAUUUCACAUCCAAACAUUAACUGCAUGGAGCUGCAACACAAGCCCAUAUCAUCAGACCUCCAUAUCCUUGCUUCCCUGUUGCUAGUAGAUAUUUUUGCUAAGACCCACUGGUAAUCAGUAAGGGAUGAUAAUAGUUACUGGUGUUAAAAGUCACCAUAGUUAUUUUUUUAACUUAAAUGAUCUUUAUACGUAUAAAUUAUGUUGCUAAUUAGAUGUCAUACAUACUGUUUUUCCUCCAGCACAUAAAGACUCCCAGGAAGACAACAAGCAGUAGAGGAAUAAGAAGCAAGGUGGUGAUUAUGGCAGGAAGCACACCCUUCUCCUUGUUUAACAUUGGUCUGCUUUUCCUCUCUUCCAUUUCCACCAAUGGGUGAUCUUUCUGUCCAACAAUUUGCUUCUCCUGGACCAAAGCUGGCUUUGAAAUGUUGAGAUCUUGCUUCAUCUUGCUCUGAACCAAAGACUCCAUUUC